rnacentral:rRNA from 1 species
AUUGAACGCUGGCGGCAUGCCUUACACAUGCAAGUCGAACGGCAGCGCGGGUGCUUGCACCUGGUGGCGAGUGGCGAACGGGUGAGUAAUACAUCGGAACGUACCUUAUCGUGGGGGAUAACGCAGCGAAAGCUGUGCUAAUACCGCAUACGCCCUGAGGGGGAAAGCGGGGGAUCGAAAGACCUCGCGCGAUUAGAGCGGCCGAUGCCUGAUUAGCUUGUUGGUGGGGUAAAAGCCCACCAAGGCGACGAUCAGUAGCUGGUCUGGGAGGACGAUAAGCCACACUGGGACUGAGACACGGCCCAGACGCCUACGGGAGGCAGCAGUGGGGAUUUUUGGACAAUGGGGGCAACCCUGAGCCAGCAAUGCCGCGUGAGUGAAGAAGGCCUUCGGGUUGUAAAGCUCUUUUGUCAGGGAAGAAACACCGGCUCUAACACAGUCCGGGAAUGACGGUACCUGAAGAAUAAGCACCGGCUAACUACGUGCCAGCCGCCGCAGUAA